CUUUAGUUCUUCCAGCUGUAUUAGAAAACAUGAACGAAUUCACAGUGGAGAGAAAUCCUGUAUAUGUAAACAAUGUGGUAAAGCCUUUAAUUCUUCCUAUUACAUUAAAAUCCACAAACGAAUUCACAGUGGAGAGAAACUUUAUGAAUGCAAACAAUGUGGGAAAGCCUUUUGUUUCCCCAAUUCCCUUCAAAUUCAUGAACAGAUUCACAGUAGAAACAAACUCUAUGCAUGUAAGAAAUGUGGAAAAGCCUUUAGUUCUUCUAGCCACACCAAAACACGUGAACAUAUUCACAGUAAAGAGAAACCCCAUACAUGUAAGCAAUCUGGGAAAGCUUUCAUUCAUUCCUAUUUGGUUAGAAAAAAUGAAAUAAUGAACACUGGAGAAAAACCCUGUGUAUGAAAGCAAUGUGGCAAAGCCUGUGGUGACCCCAAUUUUCUCAGACAACAGAAGAAUUCACAGUGAUAUGAAACUUGCAUGUGAGCAGUGUGGGAAGCCUCCAGUGAUUCCUUCACCCUUAAAAUACCUGAAAGAAUUCAUAGUGAAGAAAAAUCCUGAGUGUGUGUGUGUGUGUGUAUGUGUAUAAAGAAUGCAGCGAACCCUUCACUCCAUCCAGUUACCUUCUCAAACAUCAAGGAACUCAUACUUGAGAGAAACUCCAUGAGUGUAAGCCAUGUGAGAAAGCCUUUACUACUUACAGUUCCCUUUGAUACCAUGAAACAAUUCACAGUGAGGGGGAACCUUAAUUCUCAUAUUCUUUCAAGUACAUGGAAGAGCGCACUGGAGAGUAACCCUGAAUACAGAAAAUUGGGAAUUCUUUAUUAUCACAUGAAGUUGUUCACAAACAUGAGAAUGCAAUAGUAAUAACUUAUAUUAUUACAAAGGAUGUGGGGACACUUGUCAUCUUGGUUCAGUGAACCCAUAUAAAUGAGCACAGUAUUCAGUAGAACUUGCAAUAGAAGACCUGUGAAAUGAUCUCCAUUUGGUUCACAUGUAAGAAAUCACAGUGGAUCAAGAACUUGUAAUGUGAAAACUUCUUAUGUCAAAUAUAACAGUUUCAGAGGCCUAUGAAAAUUCCUCAUGUAUGGGCUGGGGAUGUGGCUCAAGCCGUAGCACGCUCACCUGGCAUGCGUGCGGCCCGGGUUCGAUCCUCAGCACCACAUACAAAAAAAGAUGUUGUGUC
rnacentral:lncRNA from 1 species